rnacentral:rRNA from 1 species
UACGUAGGUGGCGAGCGUUGUCCGGAAUUACUGGGUGUAAAGGGCGUGUAGGCGGGGGUGCAAGUCAGGUGUGAAAUACCGCGGCUCAACCGCGGGGGUGCAUCUGAAACUGCAUCUCUUGAGUGCCGGAGAGGAAGGCGGAAUUCCCAGUGUAGCGGUGAAAUGCGUAGAGAUAUGGAGGAACACCAGUGGCGAAGGCGGCUCUCUGGUCUGCAACUGACGCUGAGGCGCGAAAGCGUGGGGAGCAAACAGG